rnacentral:lncRNA from 1 species
GCAUCAGGAAAAAUAAUGUCAACGUGUCCUAAGAGGAAAGAUUUUUAAAGACUACAAAAUAUUGUUUCAGGAAGUCUCUAUGACUUUCUACCACAACUGGGAACAAAGAUACUACUUCAAGUAAAUGCCUGGAAGGACUGUGAGAAGGUUAAAUUUAUGGCACUUCACAUUUACACAAUGCAAACUGAGAAUUCUAAGAGAAAGAGGAUUCUUUAAGCUACUUCUGCUGAAUGAAAGUUUCAGACUAACUACAUGGGGAUGCACCACAAUACUGUACAUGGACCUAAUCAAAAUAUUAGUGUCUUAAGAAGAAAGAGAAAAGCCAUUUGUUUUUUAAAACUCUCAUCUCUCCUAAUAUUCAGAAGUGAGUCCACGCUGUGAACAAGAUGUCCAAAAGACAUCAGACUGAAAAAGUUCGAAACCAAACUCAUCUUUUGUCUAAAACCUGCUCCAACCAGAGUCUUACCCAUCCCGACUGAUGGCAACUCCAUCUUUCCAGUUGUUCAAGCCCAAAGUUUUGGAGUCAUUUCUUCACUUCUUGGUUUCUGUCACACCCCCACUUCCAAUUAGAUCAUCCUAUAGGCUCUAUUUUCAACACGUAUCCAGAAUUCAGUCUCUUCUCAAGCACCUCCACUGCUAAUGCUGUGGCCUGAAUUGGCCCAUGUUUCAACUACACUACUGCUGUUGCUGCCUGGUCUACUUGCUUUUGUUUACAGCCUUUACAAUCUCUUUAUGUCUUUUCGACACACAUCCAGGGUAACCUUGAUGAAAUGGAAGUCACUCUAUGGCCCUUCUCUUCUCGAAACUCUACAGAGGCUCCCAGUUUUCCUUACAGUAACAGCCAAAGUGCUUGUAAUGGCUCACAAAACCUGAUGUGAUCAGUCUCUCCUCCAUUGCUGCCUGACUGUCCCUCACCUCUGUCCCAUCACUCGCUCUAAUCCAGCCACCUUAGCAUCCUUGCUAUUUCCCCAAAACACUACUGCUUCAGGCCUUUGCACUAGCUAUGUUUUCUGUCUGUAAUUUUCAUCCCUUUUAUAUCCACAUGGCCCACUCCUUCACCUUUUGAAAUCUUUUCUUAUUUACAAUUAUAAACUUCCAUCCCUCCAACCCCUCCAAAAGUCUUGAUAUCCCUUAUCUUCUCUAUUUUUCCCAUAGCACUUACUACCUUUAACAUUUAGAAUUUAUUUAAUUAUUUUGUCUAUUUCCUGUUUCUGCUCUUAGAAUAUAAACUCUGUAGGGCAGGGUUUGGAGGAUGUUUUAUUUACCCAUUUAUCCUGAGCACAUUAGAAGAGUGCCUGGCCCAUCAUAGAUGCAAGCAGAUGUUUGAUUUAUAUGAAUGAAUAAAAAAAUUAAUG